rnacentral:lncRNA from 1 species
GUGCGCAGGCGCUUGCGGCUUCGCGGGGCUGACCGUGCGCUUCGCCUGCGGGGUCGUGCUGGGGCGGCGGGUACGCUAUUUGAAGAACAGGUUUCCAUGCUCUUAGAGGAGCAUCAGAAAAUGAACAAACCCCAGGUGAGUUCCUUUUUUAGAUUUUUUCAUUUUCCAGGGGAUUUGCUGGCUUUUAUAAAAUUCGUUUAUUCAGAUGGACAUUUAAAAAGCUACUUCAGGAUAAAUGAGGAGUGAGAGGCAACUGAGCAGUAGGCAGAGGUGGCUGCGGAACCCUGUGGUCAUGUGAUCCUACAAUCGUCAAAGGAGAGGGGCAGAUUUGUCUUUUUUUUUUUGACACAGAGUCUUGCUCUGUUGCCCAGGCUGGAAUGCAGUGGCGUGAUCUUGGCUCACUGCAACCUUCACCUCUGGGGUUCAACCAAAUCUCAUGCCUCGGUCUCCCGACUAGCUGGGACUACAGGUGCUCACCACCACACCCGGCUAAUUUUUGUAUUUUUUAUAGAGAUGGUUUCGCCAUGUUGGCCAGUCUGGUCUCGAGCAAGUCCAGAAAUUAAGAGACCUGAUAAAGGGAAGCCAGGAAAAUCGAGAUGCAUAUUUGUGGUACACUUCAGUUCUCAGUAACAACACACUGACUAAGAAGAGGGAAUACGUUUUUGGGAAAAACCUUAAUCUGGGUGCAAACCCAGUUUCUUCAAGAAAAAUAGCCUGUUAGUAUGACUCAUGUGGAAUGAGUUUGAAUACGUUUCAGAAUCAAGUAUUAGUGAUAAAAAUUAUGCCAGUAAUAACACUGAUGAAAUUAAUAUAAGUGAGAAGUUGCCUUUUGAUAGUAAUCAGGAAAACACUCAUACUGGGAAGAAAUCUGUUGUAUAUAACCAAAGUGGGAAGUCACCAAGUCAUAGUGAGGACCUUAUUAAGGAACAGGAAAUUCAAGCUUUAGCCCACCUUUGGAAGCUAAUGAACAUGGAAAUCCCUUCCUUGAGAAGGUAGCCACCAUCACACAAGAGACAGCUCAAACAAGAGAGAAACCCUGUGAUUAUAAGGAGCAUGGGGAAAAUGUCAGUGCCACAUCAGCUCCCAGAGUUCAUCAAGAAAUUCACACAAG